UCACAAAAUACAAUGAGGCUC
rnacentral:piRNA from 1 species